rnacentral:rRNA from 1 species
GUGUCAGCAGCCGCGGUAAUACGGAGGGUGCAAGCGUUAAUCGGAAUUACUGGGCGUAAAGCGUGCGUAGGCGGCUUAUUAAGUCAGAUGUGAAAGCCCCGGGCUUAACCUGGGAACUGCAUUUGAUACUGGUAAGCUAGAGUUGAGUAGAGGAAAGGGGAAUUUCAGGUGUAGCGGUGAAAUGCGUAGAGAUCUGAAGGAACACCAGUGGCGAAGGCGCCUUUCUGGACUCAAACUGACGCUGAGGUACGAAAGCGUGGGUAGCAAACAGGAUUAGAAACCCCCGUAGUCC